GAGCAUCUGACUCUUAAUCAGAGUGUCCAGGGUUCGAGUCCCUGAGGGGGCACCUCAAUGGAAGACCCCAGCUUCGG
rnacentral:tRNA from 1 species